rnacentral:rRNA from 1 species
GACGUAGGGCGCGAGCGUUGUCCGGAUUUAUUGGGCGUAAAGAGCUCGUAGGUGGCUUGUCGCGUCGAAUGUGAAAUCUCGGGGCUCAACUCCGAGCUUGCAUUCGAUACGGGCAGGCUAGAGUUCGGUAGGGGAGACUGGAAUUCCUGGUGUAGCGGUGAAAUGCGCAGAUAUCAGGAGGAACACCGGUGGCGAAGGCGGGUCUCUGGGCCGAUACUGACGCUGAGGAGCGAAAGCGUGGGGAGCGAACAGG